rnacentral:lncRNA from 1 species
UCUGCUUUGGAAGAGCACAGGUGCACAACCUCCACGUAGCUUCAGCUGACGAUAAUCAAUCAAAAUGCCAAGGAAAUAGGCAGUUCUGUAAAGUCGAGGUAAAUAAUAUUGGAAUCAUUGUUGUUGUGGUUGCCUAGUCUGAGGACCACCAUACCCACCAUAAUUUCCAGCACCGGAAGGCACAUUGACCUGUGUGGCUCCAUACGAUCCACCCUGUGAAGGAUCUUUCCAAGAGCUAGAAUAACCACCAGUGGCAUUACUAUCACUGUAACCACCACCCAUGUAACCAGAACCGACCCCUUGCUCCCCACCACCACCUACACCAGAAAUACCACCACUACGUCCACCAACAGCACCAUACCCACUAUGGUUAGCAUAUGGUCCAACCCCUUGUUCUCCACCAUAGCCACCACCAUAUCCAUAACUUUGACUUCCAUAGCCUGGUCCAUCAGAUGAUUGACCAGUUGGUGCAGCAGAGCCAUUAGAACCAGCAGUUCCAUAUCCAGUGUUUGAGCCAUAACCAGAAGAAUUAUAAACUGAUGAAGUUUGAUUAUUCCAAGGGCUUCUGGGUGCACCUUGUGGACCACUUCCAUAACCACCAGAAUUUGGGUUGCCAUAAGUGCCGGCAGGUCCAUAGCCAGACGUAGCAUUUCCAUAACCAGGCAUGCCAUAAGCACCAUAUCCGGUGCCAGCAGCUGCAUAUCCAUACCCAGCAUUCCCAUAACCAGAAGACCCAUAACUCGGAUAACCAGAGCCUGCUGUAGGGGGUUGCAUAUACCUAUUAGUGUCCAUUCUACCAUCAUAGGAAGUUGCGUUUGAAAUAGAACCACUAUAAGAUUGAUAUGAUCCACCUUUACCACUGCCAGAGUUAGGAUUUGCAUCCUUAGGUAAAGCCUUCUUUACUUCUACAUGUUUCCCAGCUAAUUCAUGGAAUGUUUUAUGAAGUGCCAACUCAACAGCAUCCUCAGUAUCAAAUGUUAUGAAUCCAAAUCCUCGUGGCCUUUGUGUUGUUUGAUCGUACAUUACAACAACAUCAGUAACGGUUCCGUAAUUCUCAAAAUACUGACGGAAAUCAUCUUCAGUUAGAGUUGGGGGUAACCCUCCAACGAAGAUUUUUUUAGUCCUCAUACUGCCACCUGAUCCACCACCAGCAGACCUACCUGGGUACGAUGCUUUUGCGGUUGUAUGCUGCUCCUCUCUCGAUAGAGCCCUCUUUGCUUCAACCUGUUUCAGCAUAAAACGAUGAAGAAAAGAAGCAUACAUAUAGAUAAUUGAAAUCCAGACCUAUAUAAAAAAAAAAAAAUACUUAUUCAAUCCACAAUGAAAUCUCGAUAGAAGUUGAAAACAUAUUUUUUUAAACGAAAAAGUAAGAAGAACUAUUUUUGAAAUCAAAUCGACAGAUCGAGCACAGAAAGUUAGAGAAUCUUACAGUUCGUCCAUCAAUGACAUGCAUGUCUUGGAGUACAUGUUCGAGAAGCGACGGGUCAGCGAAAACAACGAAACCAAACCCCCUCGGCCUACCUGUGAGUUUAUCCUUCAUGAUGACUGUCUGAAGAACCUCUCCGUAUUUCUCGAAAUACUCCUUCAGUCUCUCAUCCGAGGUCUCCCAAGAAAUACCGCCGAUAAAAAGUUUCCCCUGAUCGGAAUCCAUAAUUUUAGGGUUUGGGUUUCUCUUCGGAAAAAAGGAACUAAUAGACCGCCACGCAGAUUGCGCCCAAUUAUAUAAAGAGUAAAAUUUCUUGCCGAUUAUAUUUGAAUGAACGGUCAGAUUUGUUUAAGACAAAAAUUUAAGUUACAUCUCACUAGUGAGUAUUUUCUGUAUUAGUGACUUAGUGAGUAGUUGUCUAGUUGAAUACUGAGUAGUGACUAGACUUUUUAGUCGCUAAUUAAAUACAUCGUCUUUUCGGACGGCAAUGGAUCUUAGUACGAUCCAAACCCGGAUGUUUAGCUCCGGAAAUGCAGCUGAGUCCAGUCUCGCCAUCUUAAUGGUGCGUUCUCCGCUGCAGAUGGUGUCCCCAGAGACCUUAUAAAAGGAGACUCUUGAAACACAUCUAAGAAGAUAUCAAUUCCAUUCAUUUUAGAGUGACAUUCACGGAAGUAUAAACGUCGAUUCUUUCCAGAAGAAUUGACAUAAAGUGCACAACAAGAAAGUCUCUCGCACCGCCGCGAGUACUGGUGUAAUUUUUCGAUCAUCAUCAGUUAGUGUAAUCUGUGGGACCUUGGAUCCACGGGUGUCUAUCUGAAUGGUCGAUUUUCAAAGUUGUCUACCGCAAUAGAUAUUUUGACCACGAAGUUGCAGAAACAAAAUUUUUAAUGAAAUAUUUAAUUAUAGUAAACCUUAAUUAACAAUAUAUAUUAUAUAGAUUUAUAUUAGUUGACUUUAUUUAUAAAUACAUUCAAACUCAUAUAAUAUAAAAAUAAUUAUUAUAAUUAAAUAAAAAUAAGAUUAUUAUAAUUAUUAAUUUAUUAUUAUCAGACAAUCUUUACAUUAAUCAAGUUAAUUAUUUUAACUUGUAUUUAUUUUGAUCUCACAAACUAUUUUGAUUUAUCCCCUUACUUUAUCAUAGGUCUGGCAAUUCGUGUCAACACGACUGACACGAUUAAUUUUUUCGUCGACACGAACACGACUGGUCAAAAAAAUUCAACACCAACACGACUGAAUCCGUGUCGACACGACACGACUAGGGUCGUUAAAAUAUAAUUAAUUUGAAGAGACAUCAUGAGAGAUUGAACCCAUGACCUCUCAUGAUGUGUCAUGUUGUGUCAAUUUACGUUUCGUGUAAUCGUGUCGUGUUUUUAGAGACAAACACUAAACCGACACUAUUAUUAAUCGUGUCAAAACUUUCGACACUAACCCGACAUUAUUAUAAACGUGUCGUAUUCGUGUCGUGUUAAAAUCGUGUCGUGUUUUUUUUACUAAUCGUGUCUGUUAUUGUCACCCUUAUUUUAUCAAGUGAUCUUGUUUUUUAAAGGUUAUUUAACAUGGUGUGAAAGAGACUAAUUGAUCCAUACAAGUUACAAAGAAACCUCCAUGAUAAAAAAAUUUGUAACACUUAUACCUUCUCAACAAAUCUACACUACAAAAUUUUGAAAUUAAUGUUACCCCAAAAUCUAUGCAAGUUCAACACAAAGAUAUGGAAUUCCUUUUGGAAGAAUUUAAUCUCUCUUCUACCAAUACUUGUGGAAGUUGAGAAAAAUUACCUUCCAUGUCACCCACGAAUUCUAUAUAAAGAUGUGCACACCAAGCUCUCAAAACAUCAUUUAUAAAUCCAUUUUGAACAUGUGGAGAAUAUGGAGGGGCAGCAUAGGAACAAGGGAUAGACCGAGACGUAGCGGAAUGAAUGUGGCAGAAAAUUGUGUAUUAUGUGGUAAAGAACUUGAGACAAUAUCGCAUGUUUUUUUCAAAUGCAGAUUCACGAGGUGGAUGCUAAAGGAGGGCUUUGAUGCAGCGGGUGGAUUGGUGAAUACACAAGACAUUAGAGAUUUUGAAGUCAUGGCUCAUGAAAUUGAGAAAAUCACUCCUGGUUCAAAGUGCUGGGAAUUGCUAUUGGACAAUGUUUGGUUUCACAUAUGGAAGGAGCAAAACCAACGUCACCAUGGAGGAAUCUCAACCUCGUAGAAAAUGAUCAUAAGGGAAAGCAUCAGAUCGACGGAAAUCGAUUUCAAGGAAGAAAAAUUCAAAAAGCCACACAAGAGAAACGCGGAAUUGAGGGCAAUGCACCAAUGUGAUGCUCUUCAGUUGGUGAUCCACAACAGGGUGGAAGAAGGAAGUUAAGAUUGAUUAACUGUCGGGCAAACUUGUCUCUUUAUAUAGAAAGUAAGUAUAACUAUAUUUAAAUCAAUUGUUUUUGUGUGUUAAACUUCUGUAAACCUUAAUUUUUCUCUCUCUUAAUAUAUUAAGCAAUUUAUUCAAAAAAAAAUCCAUUUUGAAGCUUUUUUGUUGUCAAAACUCUUGCUUUCCAAGUUCUCUUGUUUCUGCUCUUGCUCUUUACCAAGCAUUGUGAGAGUUAUGCUUAAGAUUGUGUGCUUAAGUUCUUUACUUUUUCUUCUUCCCUUAUUCUACUUGUUAAGAGUGUGUUAAAAAAUCAAGUCACACAUUGUAAGUGUUCCAAGUGUUGUAAGAGACUUGUCUCAAAAUCAACAAUUGUGAGGUUACACAAGUUAAACCACAAAACUCGUUUGAUAGAUGUUUUACAUUGAACUGUAAAUCAUUUUUAACUCCUGUAUCAUUUUAUACAACAGACUUUCGAAAAUAUUAAAUAGUUCUAUCAUGCAUAAACUGCAUAAUUUUUUUCUAUUAAAUGGUUUCAACUUCCAAACAUGAUUGUAGUUUUAUAAAUGUAGAUGUUUGAAUUGAUGUCGUGUAGAUGAACUCUGUUUCGCUUGACUUCAAGCUCAAGUAUUUGUGAUGGACACUUAAAUUUAAGAUCUGAUAGUUUUCUUUAGAUGUAGAACAAAGUUUUCUUUAGAUGAGAUUUAUAGGGCGCUUAGUGAAAGAAAAAGUGCAGUAGAUGUUAUACUCAAGAUGGUUAAAUCUUGCUUCAAAUUUUGAUAAUACAUUAAUAAUCAUUUUUGUUUGUUGAAGUUUGAAACUAAAAAUAGAAAUAGCUGACUAUGGUUUGCCAACAAUGAGUUAUAUUUUGCAUCAUCAUCUGCAAUGGAUCCUUAAAUAAUAUAACAACAACAUCAUCAUCAUCCCUAAUACAUUUCUCAUCAAUACAGUUUCUCUUUACCCCUACCGAUCAUUACAAAUAAAAAUGAAGGUUAUAUGCAUCCGAUACAACCGACCACCUACAAGCUUUAACAUCAUCUUUGAAAUAUUGAAACCAAAAGUGUUUUGGUCACUUAUAGAGACAGACUUCAGUCACGCUAUAGAGCAAAAGAUCUUACAUUAAGGCUUGACAGUCUAUUUGGUUCAAACAUAAUUUCUUAAAAAAGAGGUGGAUCUACGUCAUCAAGCAUCACAUAAGUGAAAUUUCAAAGCACAUUUGUCAAUCUGAGUAUCAUUUCAGUUUAAAUUUACCCAGUGUUAAUAUGUAAUGUCAUAUGACUUUGGUGUAUUGCCUUGAGCUAUAAAUCCUUGUAGUAUUCCAAUCCUUGUAGAAAGGUACUCUCUAUUAUCAAAAAAAUGUCAAUGUAUUUCUAAAUAAAUUGGAAGUCGAUGGUACCAUUUCAUCUAUGGGCCUUUGAUGUAUUUUCUUUUCAUCCUUGAAGACUUGAUUUAUUCCCGAGGUUUAUUACUUUUCAUCCUUUGAAUGAUUUUUAAAGGGCAUGCAAGUUUCAAAUUUCAACAUUACCACCAAAUAUAUUGCUCCCCACUUCAAAGAAAAAUAGCUGACUGGGUUUGUGACUUUGUGGGCAAAUAAGCACAACACCAAUAAAGAAUGCCUUUUACAACUGUUAGAUAACAAUCAUCAACGAAACCUCAAAUUGAUGAAUCCAGGCAGCAUUCCCUGUGCAAAAGAGAAAAUACAGCAGGAAACGAGUAUUAUUCAUCAAUAGCAAUUGAUAAAUAUCUUUACUAUUAUGACUGCCAUUAUCUCUAGUCACCUGCUAUAGUAUUAUUCGCCUACUCAACUACAAAAAGAAGUAUCCAUCUCUAAUCCAUCUUUAUCAAAAGUACCCAAAGAAGAUACUCCCACAGUGCAUCAAACCAAAUAACCAUCGGUGCACUCUGUAUUAUCUCUACUUUUUAUAUAACCAAAAAAGUUAUCAGACUGAAUGCAGUUUACUCCACUUGAGUUAUAACUACAGCUCUACAACAAUAACUUAAUUUGUUAAAAUCAUGUCUACAUAGUGCAGAAAAUUCCAAGUUAAACCAACAACAUGUCUUGAUGAAACAGACCAAAUGCUACGGCCAGGAAACUUAUCAUGAUGUUUCUAGCAGAAACAAAUUCUAACACAGACAAUGUGAAAAAUGACAUAGCAUAGCAUAGAUAAUAUAAGAAACAAGGACACGAGAUACACUACAGACUAAAAAAUGCACAAUGCAAAAUGCAAGAUAUAAAUACCAGGUGGUCUAACAUUUAUCGCAGGUAAUAUUACUAAAUAAUAGGAAAAACCAUCUAAUAAUAGAUUUAAAGCAUUCCAACCAGUUGAUAGAUACACAUCUGCUUUGCAAGAGCACAGAUGCAUAACCUCCACGUAGCUGUUGCUAAAGAUAAUGAAUCAAAGAUGCUAUGGAAAUCGGCAGUUCUGUAAAGUCGAGGUAAAUCAUAUUGGAAUCAUUGUUGUUGUGGUUGCCUUGUUUGAGGACCACGAUACCCACCAUAACUUCCAGCACUAGGAGGCACAUUGACCUGUGUGGCUCCAUACGAUCUACCCUGUUAAGGAUCUUUCCAAGAACUAGCUAG